GAUGAACGCUGGCGGCGUGCUUAACACAUGCAAGUCGAACGGAAAGGCUCCUGCUUGCAGGGGUACUCGAGUGGCGAACGGGUGAGUAACACGUGGGUGAUCUGCCCUGCACUUCGGGAUAAGCCUGGGAAACUGGGUCUAAUACCGGAUAGGAUCACAUUUUGGAUGGUGUGGUGGAAAGUUUUUCGGUGUGGGAUGAGCUCGCGGCCUAUCAGCUUGUUGGUGGGGUAAUGGCCUACCAAGGCGUCGACGGGUAGCCGGCCUGAGAGGGUGUACGGGCACAUUGGGACUGAGGUACGGCGCAGACUCCUACGGGAGGCAGCAGUGGGGAAUAUUGCACAAUGGGCGCAAGCCUGAUGCAGCGACGCCGCGUGGGGGAUGACGGCCUUCGGGUUAUAAACUCCUUUCGCUAGGGACGAAGCGCAAGUGACGGUACCUGGAGAAGAAGCACCGGCUAACUACGUG
rnacentral:rRNA from 1 species